CGACCCUCUCUCUCUCUCCCUCUCUCGCGACAUCAUUCUGGCAUUCUCUCAGCCUCUCUUUCUCUCAGAACCCAGCCCCAAUUUGUUGAUUCCACCCCUAAUUCCAGUCCCAAAAACACAAUCUAAGCAAGAUGCAAACCUCACUAACAUAAAUUUCAACCCAUAUCGUUUGAUUUUCGAAAACCCUAAAAAAUCCUAGAUCAGUUCCUUGGUUCAAGUGGUGGUUCAGAGGCUUAUAAGGUGUUGAAAAGGCGGUUCUUCGCACAACGAAUUAGGAAAAUCCUUUGUUUUGGGAUUGCAAAAAUGCAAAGGCCAAGAUGGGGGGAAACGAAUGAGUCUGAACUUUGAUAGAGUGAAGUAAGUGAUCUUCUUCGAUGGCUUUAUUAGUUUGUGACAUUUUUCAUAAAUUGUUGUUUUUGAGUACUUCUGAAUUGGUUGAGGGUUGAGCAACCUAAUUUCUAUUCAAAACCAAUAAAGGAUGAGCAUAC